rnacentral:rRNA from 1 species
UGGGUAGUCCGCACGAGCGCACCCUAUCCUUAUUUGCCAGCACGUAAUGGUGGGAACUCUAGGGAGACUGCCGGUGAUAAACCGGAGGAAGGUGGGGACGACGUCAAGUCAUCAUGGCCCUUACGAGUAGGGCUACACACGUGCUACAAUGGCGUAUACAGAGGGUUGCAAAGCCGCGAGGUGGAGCUAAUCUCACAAAGUACGUCGUAGUCCGGAUCGGAGUCUGCAACUCGACUCCGUGAAGUCGGAAUCGCUAGUAAUCGUGGAUCAGAAUGCCACGGUGAAUACGUUCCCGGGCCUUGUACACACCGCCCGUCACACCAUGGGAGUGGGCUGCAAAAGAAGUGGGUAGUUUAACCUUCGGGAGAACGCUCACCACUUUAUGGUUCAUGACUGGGGUGAAGUCGUAACAAGGUAGCCCUAGGGGAACCUGGGGCUGGAUCACCUCCUU